rnacentral:rRNA from 1 species
UACGUAGGGGGCGAGCGUUGUCCGGAAUUAUUGGGCGUAAAGAGCGUGUAGGCUGUUCGGUAAGUCUGCCGUGAAAACCUGAGGCUCAACCUCGGGCGUGCAGUGGGUACGGGCAGACUAGAGUGCGGUAGGGGAGACUGGAAUUCCUGGUGUAGCGGUGAAAUGCGCAGAUAUCGGGAGGAACACCAGUAGCGAAGGCGGCUCGCUGGGCCAUUCCUGACGCUGAGACGCGAAAGCUAGGGGAGCGAACAGG